rnacentral:tRNA from 1 species
GCCUUUUUAGCUCAGUGGUAGAGCGGAAGAUUGCAGUUAUUGUUUAAAUAUCUUCAGGUCACUUGUUCGAACCAGGUAGAAGGCU